rnacentral:rRNA from 1 species
UACAGAGGCCUCGAGCGUUAGGCGGAAUCACUGGGCUUAAAGCGUGUGUAGGCGGAUUGGUAAGUACCUUGUGAAAUCCCACAGCUUAACUGUGGAACUGCUCGGUAUACUGCUGAUCUUGAGCCACUCAGGGGCUACCGGAACAAAUGGUGGAGCGGUGAAAUGCGUAGAUAUCAUUUGGAACGCCAAUGGUGAAAACAGGUAGCUGGGGGUGUGCUGACGCUGAGACACGAAGGCCAGGGGAGCAAACGGG